UCCCUGGUUGCUCAGAGGGUGAAGCAUCUGCCUACAAUGUGGGAGACCUGGGUUUGAUUCCUGGCUCGGGAA
rnacentral:tRNA from 1 species